CAGCAGCCGCGGUAAUUCCAGCUCCAAUAGCGUAUAUUAAAGUUGUUGCAGUUAAAAAGCUCGUAGUUGAACCUUGGGCCUGGUUGGCCGGUCCGCCUCACCGCGUGCACUGGUCCGACCGGGUCUUUCCUUCUGGGGAGCCGCAUGCCCUUCACUGGGUGUGUCGGGGAACCAGGACUUUUACUUUGAAAAAAUUAGAGUGUUCAAAGCAGGCCUAUGCUCGAAUACAUUAGCAUGGAAUAAUAGAAUAGGACGUGUGGUUCUAUUUUGUUGGUUUCUAGGACCGCCGUAAUGAUUAAUAGGGAUAGUCGGGGGCAUCAGUAUUCAAUUGUCAGAGGUGAAAUUCUUGGAUUUAUUGAAGACUAACUACUGCGAAAGCAUUUGCCAAGGAUGUUUUCAUUAAUCAGUGAACGAAAGUUAGGGGAUCGAAG
rnacentral:rRNA from 1 species